AAACGAUUGGUAUAGUGACAAGAGUUAGUCAAGCGUUUCACGUAGAAACAACUAGCACAAAUAUUAAUAUUUAUUAUUGUCAACAUUAUGAAAAUAAUAUUUGUAUUUUUCAUCAUCUGUUAUUCAUGGAUAAUAACAAUAACGUCGGGAGUAUUAGUUUGCAAUGAAACGGCAAAUGUGUUUUGUGAAAAUUAUGAAACUGCAAAUAUUUGCAAUAAAGUUGAUUACUGCGAGAAAAACAUCUGGAUAAAGACGACAACGGAUAAAAACCCGAGGAUUGAAAAAAAUUAUAGCAAACCAAAUAUUCCAAGUGUACAGCCAUAUUUUUGGUGGGGUUAAUGAAUAAAUAAGUGAAAUAAUAAAUUGUAUUAAAAAUUUUAUUAAAAUACUGUGUUUAAUUAAUUUUAUUAUUCAAUUAUUCAAUGAUAAAAGAACAAAUGUUGUUAUUUGCAUUCUUCAAGUUAUACAAGUAGAAAUUUAAUUUGUUUUUUU